CAAGAAACCAUUUUGAGGAAGAAAGAGGAAGCUUUGGAGAGGGGAGAAGUUGAGGUUGAUGUGAAAGAUGAGUUGAUUAUUUCGAGUCUUUGAAUACUGGAGAGUGUCUGGCAGAGUGAAAAUAAUAGUGUUUCGAGUCUUUGACAGUGUUUAAUUAUUGAAAUCAUGGCUGUGGUGAGUCCUGCUCCUGAAAUUACGCAACAGGUGAUUCCGAUAAACCUUCAUGGAUAUAGAGUUCCAGGAAACAUGGAGGCCACCAGGAAGAAAGUGAAGGAGCCGGUGGCGCCGGUAAUUAAAGAGAAGAUAUACGUAGCAGUGGGGAAAAAUUUGAGGGAAAACAAAUCGCUUCUUACAUGGGCAUUACAGAGAUCAGAAGGGAAGAAGAUUUGCAUCCUUCAUGUUCACCAACCCGCACAGAUGAUUCCGACGUUAAUGGGUCCAAAAUUUCACGCAAGCACACUUGAAGAAGGGGAAGUCAAGGCUUACCGGGAAUUUGAAAGGCAAGACAUGCAUAAAAUACUAUACGAAUACCAUCUUCUUUGUUGGCGAAUGGGGGUGGAGACUGAGAAACUGCAUAUUGAAACGGAUCUGAGUAUUGAGAAGGGAAUUUUGGAACUUAUCUCCGAGCUUGGUAUCAGGAAGCUUGUUAUGGGAGCAGCGGCAGACAAGCGCUAUUCAAAGAAUAUGAACAUCAAGUCUAAGAAGGCCAUCUCGGUGCUCCGGCAAGCACCUGCUUAUUGUCACAUAUGGUUUAUUUGCAAGCAGC
rnacentral:misc_RNA from 1 species